GACGAACGCUGGCGGCGUGCCUAAUACAUGCAAGUAGAACGCAGUUGCGAACGGGUGAGUAACGCGUAGGUAACUGCCCCAUAGCGGGGGAUAACUAUUGGAAACGAUAGCUAAUACCGCAUACUGUGAGAUGUACCUGCGUUGUAUUGGGUAGGUGGUGAGGUAAAGGGUCACCAAGGCGACGAUACAUAGCCGACCUGAGAGGGUGAUCGGCGACACUGGGACAGAGAGACGGGCCAAAAUGCUAAGGGAGGCAGCCGUAGGGAGUUUUCGGCAAUGGACGGAAAUCUGACCGAGCAACGCCGCGGGAGUGAAGAAGGUUUUCGGAGCGUAAAGCUCUGUUAUUAGAGAAGCGGUAACUGAAGAGAAAGGGACGGCUAACUACGUGCCAGCAGCCGCGGUAAUUC
rnacentral:rRNA from 1 species